rnacentral:lncRNA from 1 species
UCCGUCCGAUGUAGGAUUAUUGGCAUAGCUAGUCACCUUGUCAUUCAGACUCCGACAUUGUCUAUCCGUCCGAUGUAGGAUUAUUGGCAUAGCUAGUCACCUUGUCAUUCAGACUCCGACAUUGUCUAUCAUUCAGACUCCGGCAUUGUCUAUCACAUUGUCUUUCAGACUUUGCUCAGCUGAGACUGACAACACAUUUCUAGUGGGUGAACCGGCUCUCAUACCAAAUGUAACAAACCAACUCACUAGCAAUAAUAACUUGUUGGACCCAAACACCGGCCCAAAAUGCUUAAGCCCAGUUAUUAUUACUAGUGCCUAAAUAUCUUUUAUAGCCAAUCACACC